GACGAACGCUGGCGGCGUGCUUAACACAUGCAAGUCGAACGAAGUGGCGAACGGGUGAGUAACGCGUAAUCAACCUGCCCUUCAGUGGGGGACAACAGUUGGAAACGACUCCUAAUACCGCAUACUGAAUGAGGGGAUUGCGUCUGAUUAGCUGGUUGGAGGGGUAACGGACCACCAAGGCGAUGAUCAGUAGACGGUCUGAGAGGAGGAAGGGAAAAAUUUGGACUGAGACACGGGCCCGAAUCCUAAGGGAGGCAGCAGUGGGGAAGCUUCCGAAAUGGACGAAAGUCUGACGGAGCAAAGCCGGGUGAGUGAUGACGGCUUUCGGGUUGUAAAGCUCUGUUAAGCGGGACGCGGUACCGGAAUAGAAAGCCACGGCUAACUACGUGCCAGCAGCCGCGGUAAUAC
rnacentral:rRNA from 1 species